AGAAUGUUAAUUAAAAUCAAAGAAGGAAACAAUUCAAGUAAUUGAGUUGUUAUUACUUUGAAUAAAAUAAGGUGUUUAAAGCAAAACAUUAUGUUAAUGAAUAUUCAAGCAUGGGACAAUGCUGAGGGGAUGUCAAUAAGACAUUUCGAGAGAAGGAUUAAAAGGAACAAUUGGGGUGAUUCAGAAAAUAACGGGAGAGGUGAAAAUCCAUGAUCGCUAUAAGAUGCACGAGAGCGAAAGCAUUUCACUCAACUGUGUCCAUUAAUCAAGAACGAAAGUUAGGGGAUCGAAGACGAUCAGAUACCGUCGUAGUCCUAACUAUAAACGAUGUCAACCAAGGAUUGGAUGAAAUUCAGAUGUACAAAGAUAGAGAAGCAUUGUUUCCUAGAAAUGUUAAAUUAAAAUCAAAGAAGGAAACAAUUCAAGUAAUUGAGUUGUUAUUACUUUGAAUAAAAUAAGGUGUUUAAAGCAAAACAUUAUGUUAAUGAAUAUUCAAGCAUGGGACAAUGCUGAGGGGAUGUCAAUAAGACAUUUCGAGAGAAGGAUUAAAAGGAACAAUUGGGGUGAUUCAGAAAAUAACGGGAGAGGUGAAAAUCCAUGAUCGCUAUAAGAUGCACGAGAGCGAAAGCAUUUCACUCAACUGUGUCCAUUAAUCAAGAACGAAAGUUAGGGGAUCGAAGACGAUCAGAUACCGUCGUAGUCCUAACUAUAAACGAUGUCAACCAAGGAUGGA
rnacentral:rRNA from 1 species